UACGGAGGGUGCAAGCGUUAAUCGGAAUUACUGGGCGUAAAGCGCACGCAGGUGGCUGAGUCAGUCGAUUGUGAAAGCCCUGGGCUUAACCUGGGAAUUGCAGUCGAUACUACUCAGCUAGAGUAUGGGAGAGGGUAGUGGAAUUCCCGGUGUAGCGGUGAAAUGCGUAGAUAUUGGGAGGAACACCAGUGGCGAAGGCGGCUCACUGGACCGGAACUGACGCUGAGGCGCGAAAGCGUGGGGAGCAAACAGG
rnacentral:rRNA from 1 species